AUGGCGACGGAGUUGGACUCCGGUGGCGGCUCGAAGAGGCGGCGGACGGGCGAGGGAGGGGAGCGAGCGCAUCCAGGCGCGGGGGCGGCGGCGGAGGACCGUAUUUCGUCGCUGCCGGAGGCGCUGCGGCUGCACAUCCUCGGCCUCCUCCCGUUCAAAUCCGCCGUUCGCACGGGCGCGCUCUCCACCGGGUGGCGCGCGCUCUGGGCGCACCGCUGGCCGGCGCCCUCAUCGCUCGACCUCCGACUCAAGACCCACGCGCCCCCGGCGCCGAUCCUCGAGUCCCUGGAGCGGCGCGGCCGGCGGCGCCUCGACCGGCUCUCCCUGACGUUCCAGAUCGGCAAGGGGGACCUCGAGCCCGACGGCGUCCACCGGAUCCUGGACUACGCCGCCGACCUCCACGUGGACUUCGCCCACCGGGCCCUGGGCUUCAUUUUCAAGCUCCGCCUCCCGCGGGGCGACGCCCACCUCACGCGCCUCACCGUCGGCGGCAUCCGCGUCGGCCUCUCCAAGCCCUUCUGCGCCCGCUCCCACACCUUCUCCGUCCUCGAGGUCAUCUACCUCGACGGCGUCACGCUCUCCGACCACACCGUCGAGAACCUGGUCGCCGCGUGCCCCCUCCUCCGCACCCUCGACCUGCGCUACUGCGACGGCCUCGAUUUCGUCAACCUCGAGGCCGCCGGGCCGCACCUGAGGAGCCUCACCGUCGCGGAGUGCGGAGGGGUGAGAGACAUUUGUACCAUGGAGGCGCCCAGCCUUCGCUCCUUCCGCUACAGCGGCUCCUACAUCCGCGCCCUGACAAUCCCUGCCACCUGCGCGCUCGCCGACCUUUACCUAUGCUUCGGCGGACCUGCCGGUCGCCUCCGGCCUCUCGGCACCCCACUCUGUUUCGAUUUUGCUUGGCCUGCAGGGGUGCCAAGAAAUUGGCUUCAGGCACUCACCAACCUCUCAAGCCUCACCGUGCUUACCCUCUGCAGCAGUGCCCUGCGGAGAGUGUCUGCCAAGGCUCGUGAGAGAUCACUAACCAAAAGUGGUGCCGCGUCGUGCAAAUUGAGGAAUUUGAGAGAGCUGCAGCUGCUGAUGUUUGCAAUGUACAACAGCAGCCUGGAUGACAUUUACGUUUUCAUGGUGGCCUGCUGCCCCCCUCUUUUAGAGAGGCUGUUUGUGCAGCUUCCAACAAAUAGUCACUAUUAUAGACUGGGCUCAGAACCAUCAGAAUCAGAGGAAGAGCUACUAGAGGAAAAUGGGCCAGUGGAGGAGCUGCGGGGAGAAGAGGCACCUGAGGAAAAUGGGCCAGAGGAAGAGCUACCAGAAGAGGAAGAUGAGCUUCAGGAGGAGCUACUAGAGGGAGAGCUGGCAGAAGAGGAAGAUGAGCUUCAAGACAAGCUGCCAGAGGGAGAGCUAUCAGAAGAGGAAGAUGAGCUUCAAGACGAGCUGCCAGAGGGAGAGCUAUCAGAAGAGGAAGAUGAGCUUCAAGACGAGCUGCCAGAGGGAGAGCUAUCAGAAGAGGAAGAUGAGCUUCGAGACGAGCUGCCAGAGGGAGAGGCGUCGGAGGAAAAUCAGUCAGAGGAAGACUGGUCAGAUGAAGAGCUAUCUGAUGGAGGGCAAUCAGAGGAAGAGCCAGUAGAGGGUUGCCUUGAGAACCUUAAGUUGCUCAAGAUGACGAAUUUCAAGGGGGGUGACAAUGAGAUGAGGCUACUAAGAUUUGUGUUGAGGAACUCUACUAGUCUCAACCAACUGCUGCUAUUUACAUCGAAGAGUGAUCGACCAGAGUGGCUCCAGAAGGAUUAUCUGGAUACAUCCGAUAUUCUUGAAACAAAAAUAUUGCCUCUCCAAAAAGCCCUACCAAAUUGCCAGAUAAUUCUCGGUGAGUCUGAUGGUGAUGCAAUUCAGGCAUUUCAUCGGGAGGCCUUUGUCGACGUCUAG
rnacentral:rRNA from 1 species